rnacentral:rRNA from 1 species
AUUGAACGCUGGCGGCAUGCCUUACACAUGCAAGUCGAACGGCAGCACGGGAGCAAUCCUGGUGGCGAGUGGCGAACGGGUGAGUAAUAUAUCGGAACGUGCCCAGUCGUGGGGGAUAACGUAGCGAAAGCUACGCUAAUACCGCAUACGAUCUAUGGAUGAAAGCGGGGGAUCGCAAGACCUCGCGCGAUUGGAGCGGCCGAUAUCAGAUUAGGUAGUUGGUGAGGUAAAGGCUCACCAAGCCGACGAUCUGUAGCUGGUCUGAGAGGACGACCAGCCACACUGGGACUGAGACACGGCCCAGACUCCUACGGGAGGCAGCAGUGGGGGAAUUUUUGGGACAAUGGGCGCAAGCCUGAUCCAGCACUGCCGCGUGCAGGAUGAAGGCCU